GACAUUAGAGAUAUAACUGUCGNGGUAAUCUCGUAGUUCCUUGUGUCUAUUUUCUAUUGUUGCUUCCAUGAGACAGAUGCUAUUACAAUGUAAUGUGC
rnacentral:rRNA from 1 species